GAUCAUGGCUCAGGACGAACGCUGGCGGCGCGCCUAACACAUGCAAGUCGAACGAGANAGAAGGAGCUUGCUUCUUCGAUCGAGUGGCGAACGGGUGAGUAACGCGUGAGGAACCUGCCUCAAAGAGGGGGACAACAGUUGGAAACGACUGCUAAUACCGCAUAAGCCCACGGGUCGGCAUCGAUCUGAGGGAAAUGGAGCAAUCCGCUUUGAGAUGGCCUCGCGUCCGAUUAG
rnacentral:rRNA from 1 species